UACGGGGGGGGCAAGCGUUGUUCGGAAUUACUGGGCGUAAAGGGCGCGUAGGCGGCCUUCUAAGUCGGACGUGAAAUCCCUCGGCUUAACCGAGGAACUGCGUCCGAUACUGAAAGGCUUGAAUCCGGGAGAGGGAUGCAGAAUUCCAGGUGUAGCGGUGAAAUGCGUAGAUAUCUGGAGGAAUACCGGUGGCGAAGGCGGCAUCCUGGACCGACACUGACGCUGAGGAGCGAAAGCCAGGGGAGCAAACGGG
rnacentral:rRNA from 1 species